GCGGAUGUGCUGGAAUAGGCAGACAGGCACGGUUGAGGGCCGUGUGUCCCACGGACGUAUGGGUUCAAGUCCCAUCAUCCGCACCA
rnacentral:tRNA from 1 species